AACGCUAGCUACAGGCUUAACACAUGCAAGUCGAGGGGCAGCACGAACUUAGCUUGCUAAGUUUGAUGGCGACCGGCGCACGGGUGCGUAACGCGUAUCCAACCUUCCCGUUACUCAGGGAUAGCCUUCCGAAAGGGAGAUUAAUACCUGAUGGUGUUCAAAUUCCGCAUGACAUUUGAACUAAAGAUUCAUCGGUAACGGAUGGGGAUGCGUUCCAUUAGCUUGUUGGCGGGGUAACGGCCCACCAAGGCGACGAUGGAUAGGGGUUCUGAGAGGAAGGUCCCCCACACUGGAACUGAGACACGGUCCAGACUCCUACGGGAGGCAGCAGUGAGGAAUAUUGGUCAAUGGCCGUAAGGCUGAACCAGCCAAGUAGCGUGAAGGAUGAAGGUUCUAUGGAUUGUAAACUUCUUUUAUACGGGAAUAACACCGUCCACGUGUGGGCGCCUGCAUGUACCGUAUGAAUAAGCAUCGGCUAACUCCGUGCCUGCAGCCGCGGUAAUACGGAGGAUGCGAGCGUUAUCCGGAUUUAUUGGGUUUAAAGGGAGCGUAGACGGGACGUUAAGUCAGUUGUGAAAGGCUGCGGCUCAACCGCAGCACUGCAGUUGAUACUGUCGUCCUUGAGUGCGGUUGAGGUGCGUGGAAUUCGUGGUGUAGCGGUGAAAUGCUUAGAUAUCACGAAGAACUCCGAUUG
rnacentral:rRNA from 1 species